GCCCUCGUGGCGGAACUGGCAUACGCGCGUGGCUUAGGACCACGUCCCCCAAAGGGUUAGAGGUUCAAAUCCUCUCGAGGGCA
rnacentral:tRNA from 1 species